AUUGAACGCUGGCGGCAGGCUUAACACAUGCGAGUCGAGCGGGGGAAGGUAGCUUGCUCCCGGACCUAGCGGCGGACGGGUGAGUAAUGCUUAGGAAUCUGCCUAUUAGUGGGGGACAACAUCUCGAAAGGGAUGCUAAUACCGCAUACGUCCUACGGGAGAAAGCAGGGGAUCUUCGGACCUUGCGCUAAUAGAUGAGCCUAAGUCGGAUUAGCUAGUUGGUGGGGUAAAGGCCUACCAAGGCGACGAUCUGUAGCGGGUCUGAGAGGAUGAUCCGCCACACUGGGACUGAGACACGGCCCAGACUCCUACGGGAGGCAGCAGUGGGGAAUAUUGGACAAUGGGGGGAACCCUGAACCAGCCAUGCCGCGUGUGUGAAGAAGGCCUUAUGGUUGUAAAGCACUUUAAGCGAGGAGGAGGCUACUUUAGUUAAUACCUAGAGAUAGUGGACGUUACUCGCAGAAUAAGCACCGGCUAACUCUGUG
rnacentral:rRNA from 1 species